rnacentral:rRNA from 1 species
AGUGAACGCUGGCGGUAGGCCUAACACAUGCAAGUCGAACGGCAGCACAGGAGAGCUUGCUCUCUGGGUGGCGAGUGGCGGACGGGUGAGGAAUACAUCGGAAUCUACUUUUUCGUGGGGGACAACGUAGGGAAACUUACGCUAAUACCGCAUACGACCAACGGGUGAAAGCAGGGGAUCUUCGGACCUUGCGCGAUUGAAUGAGCCGAUGUCGGAUUAGCUAGUUGGCGGGGUAAAGGCCCACCAAGGCGACGAUCCGUAGCUGGUCUGAGAGGAUGAUCAGCCACACUGGAACUGAGACACGGUCCAGACUCCUACGGGAGGCAGCAGUGGGGAAUAUUGGACAAUGGGCGCAAGCCUGAUCCAGCCAUACCGCGUGGGUGAAGAAGGCCUUCGGGUUGUAAAGCCCUUUUGUUGGGAAAGAAAUCCAGCUGGUUAAUACCCGAUUGGGAUGACGGUACCCAAAGAAUAAGCACCGGCUAACUUCGUGCCAGCAGCCGCCGUAA